AAAGACCCAGCAAGGCUUUCUAUGAGUUGCCCAGUGAAGACUGGUUCUCCCAAAAUCAGCCCAUAAAAACAAUGUCAUUCCCACGAGAUUGGAUACUUUUUGGAAUUCUGCAGAUUUGGCGUUAUCUGGAGGAUGACAGGCUGAGGAUGUGAAGUAGUUCUGAAUGGCAGUGGUGAUGUGUGGCCGGUGACACUGAGGCGGCCACAGGCAGGUGUCUUAUCAGAGUUCUCAAAGGACUUGGACUCUUCUGCCAGUGUGAAUUCAGCUGCCAUGAGAGGUCAGGUCAGACAGACCUAGGCACAUAGAAAUUUAGUAUAUGAUUUCAAGUGCAGGGGAGGGAGAUGAAGUAUUUAAUAGUGCUUUGAGACAACUAGCUAUCUGUGAGACUUCUAUCUCGGUUUCAAAAACAAAAUAAAACCAAAAAACCCUAGGGCUAGAGGGGAAAAAAAAAAACAAAACAACAAAAUCAUCAUCAUCAUCACCAUCGUCAUCAUCAUCGUCAUCAUCAUCAUCAUCAUCAUCAGCCCACUAUGUACCUCUGACUGUGCUGGAACUCUCUAUGUAAACCACGCUGGCCUGGAAAUCACCAAGAUACUCACCCGCCUCUGCCUCCUAAAUGCUGGGACUAAAGGCUUGUACACCUGGAAAGAAAAAAUAUUUUUAUACCCGUUGUAGGAAAAAGGCUUUUCUAGACAUAACGUGAAACCGAAUACAUAAUGGGGGAAAGACAUACACACACACACACACACAAAGCUUGAGAGCAUGCUAUAGGAAACAGGUUAAAUCAAUACAGGUGCGUGGGUGGGAGAGCAUGUGUGUGAGUACCUUCAUUGCAGGAGAAAGUGUUUUGACUUCUCAGAGAACGGCACCAGGGUCUGUCCAGCAGUCACCCAAAGAUUCAGUAGUGACAGGGUUGAGUUCUUUUUUUUUUUUUUUCCGGAGCUGGGGACUGAACCUCUACUGCUGAGCUAAAUCCCCAGCCCCCAGGGUUGAGUUCUCUUGCAGGUCCUCCAGAGUUUUUGCUGCCAGGCUCAGACCACAUGGCUUCCUAUUCAUGUCUUGGUGACAGAAAUA
rnacentral:lncRNA from 1 species